CAUGCAGUCGACGAUGAACCUCACUUGUGGGGGGAUUAGUGGCGAACGGGUGAGUAACACGUGAGUAACCUGCCCUUGACUCUGGGAUAAGCCUGGGAAACUGGGUCUAAUACCGGAUAUGACUCCUCAUCGCAUGGUGGGGGGUGGAAAGCUUUUGUGGUUUUGGAUGGACUCGCGGCCUAUCAGCUUGUUGGUGAGGUAAUGGCUCACCAAGGCGACGACGGGUAGCCGGCCUGAGAGGGUGACCGGCCACACUGGGACUGAGACACGGCCCAGACUCCUACGGGAGGCAGCAGUGGGGAAUAUUGCACAAUGGGCGAAAGCCUGAUGCAGCGACGCCGCGUGAGGGAUGACGGCCUUCGGGUUGUAAACCUCUUUCAGUAGGGAAGAAGCGAAAGUGACGGUACCUGCAGAAGAAGCGCCGGCUAACUACGUGCCAGCAGCCGCGGUAAUACGUAGGGCGCAAGCGUUAUCCGGAAUUAUUGGGCGUAAAGAGCUCGUAGGCGGUUUGUCGCGUCUGCCGUGAAAGUCCGGGGCUCAACUCCGGAUCUGCGGUGGGUACGGGCAGACUUGAGUGAUGUAAUGGGAAACUGGAAUUCCUGGUGUAGCGGUGAAAUGCGCAGAUAUCAGGAGGAACACCGAUGGCGAAGGCAGGUCUCUGGGCAUACUGACGCUGAGGAGCGAAAGCAUGGGGAGCGAACAGGAUUAGAUACCCUGGUAGUCCAUGCCGUUAACGUUG
rnacentral:rRNA from 1 species